rnacentral:rRNA from 1 species
CGAACGGGUGAGUAACGCGUGAGGAACCUGCCUCAAAGAGGGGGACAACAGUUGGAAACGAUUGCUAAUACCGCAUAAGCCCACGGGUCGGCAUCGAUCUGAGGGAAAAGGAGUGAUCCGCUUUGAGAUGGCCUCGCGUCCGAUUAGCUAGUUGGUGAGGUAACGGCCCACCAAGGCGACGAUCAGUAGCCGACCUGAGAGGGUGACCGGCCACAUUGGGACUGAGACACGGCCCAA